rnacentral:lncRNA from 1 species
UUUUGAUUUUUUUGUUUAAUCCCUUUAUUUUAAUUAAUUCAUAUUAAUAUCAUUUUUAAUCCAAAAAAUAUGGAACUUUCACCAAAAAUCUUUAAAUAUUUUCCUCUUUAAUUUUCUGAAUUAAAAUUAUUUUUUGGAUUAAUUUUGAUAUUUUUCAUGAAUUAAUUGUUUUUAUGCAUAUUUUUAAUUAUUUAAAAAUACUUUUGACUUUUCAAAAAUUAUGAAAUUUU